rnacentral:rRNA from 1 species
UCCAUGGACGCAAGUCUGAUGGAGCAACGCCGCGUGAGUGAAGAAGGUCUUCGCNNCGUAAAGCUCUGUUGUUGGUGAAGAAGGAUAGAGGCAGUANCUGGUCUUUAUUUGACGGUAAUCAACCAGAAAGUCACGGCUAACUACGUGCCAGCAGCCGCGGUAAUACGUAGGUGGCAAGCGUUGUCCGGAUUUAUUGGGCGUAAAGCGAGCGCAGGCGGAAUGAUAAGUCUGAUGUGAAAGCCCACGGCUCAACCGUGGAACUGCAUCGGAAACUGUCAUUCUUGAGUGCAGAAGAGGAGAGUGGAACUCCAUGUGUAGCGGUGAAAUACACC